rnacentral:rRNA from 1 species
UACGUAGGGUGCGAGCGUUGAUCGGAAUUACUGGGCGUAAAGCGUGCGCAGGCGGUGAUGUAAGACAGGUGUGAAAUCCCCGGGCUUAACCUGGGAACUGCAUUUGUGACUGCGUCGCUGGAGUGCGGCAGAGGGGGAUGGAAUUCCGCGUGUAGCAGUGAAAUGCGUAGAUAUGCGGAGGAACACCGAUGGCGAAGGCAAUCCCCUGGGCCUGUACUGACGCUCAUGCACGAAAGCGUGGGGAGCAAACAGG